rnacentral:rRNA from 1 species
AGAGUUUGAUCCUGGCUCAGGAUGAACGCUAGCUACAGGCUUAACACAUGCAAGUCGAGGGGAAACGAUAUUGGAAGCUUGCUUCCGAUAGGCGUCGACCGGCGCACGGGUGAGUAACGCGUAUCCAACCUGCCCACCACUUGGGGAUAACCUUGCGAAAGUAAGACUAAUACCCAAUGAUAUCUCUAGAAGACAUCUGAAAGGGGUUAAAGAUUUAUCGGUGAUGGAUGGGGAUGCGUCUGAUUAGCUUGUUGGCGGGGUAACGGCCCACCAAGGCGACGAUCAGUAGGGGUUCUGAGAGGAAGGUCCCCCACAUUGGAACUGAGACACGGUCCAAACUCCUACGGGAGGCAGCAGUGAGGAAUAUUGGUCAAUGGGCGAGAGCCUGAACCAGCCAAGUAGCGUGCAGGAUGACGGCCCUAUGGGUUGUAAACUGCUUUUUAUAAAGGGAAUAAAGUGAGUCUCGUGAGACUUUUUGCAUGUACCUUAUGAAUAAAGACCGGCUAAUUCCGUGCCAGCAGCCGCGGUAAUACCGAAAGUCCGGGCGUUAUCCGGAUUUAUUGGGUUUAAAGGGAGCGUAGGCCGGAGAUUAAGCGUGUUGUGAAAUGUAGAUGCUCAACAUCUGCACUGCAGCGCGAACUGGUUUCCUUGAGUACGCACAAAGUGGGCGGAAUUCGUGGUGUAGCGGUGAAAUGCUUAGAUAUCACGAAGAACUCCGAUUGCGAAGGCAGCUCACUGGAGCGCAACUGACGCUGAAGCUCGAAAGUGCGGGUAUCGAACAGGAUUAGAUACCCUGGUAGUCCGCACGGUAAACGAUGGAUGCCCGCUGUUGGUCUGAAUAGGUCAGCGGCCAAGCGAAAGCAUUAAGCAUCCCACCUGGGGAGUACGCCGGCAACGGUGAAACUCAAAGGAAUUGACGG